rnacentral:rRNA from 1 species
CCUACGGGCGGCAGCAGUGGGGAAUAUUGGGCAAUGGGCGCAAGCCUGACCCAGCAAUGCCGCGUGAAGGAAGAAGGCUUUCGGGUUGUAAACUUCUUUGACAGGGGAAGAGCAGAAGACGGUACCCUGAAAACAAGCCACGGCUACCUACGUGCCAGCAGUCGCGGUAAUACGUAGGUGGCAAGCGUUGUCCGGAUGUACUGGGUGUAAAGGGCGUGUAGCCGGGAAGGCAAGUCAGACGUGAAAUCUGGAGGCUCAACCUCCAAAUUGCAUUUGAAACUGUUUUUCUUGAGUACUGGAGAGGCAGAAGGAAUGCGUUGUGUAGCGGUGAAAUGCGUAGAUAUAAGGAGGAACACCAGUGGCGAAGGCGGUCUGCUGGACAGCAACUGACGGUGAGGCGCGAAAGCGUGGGGAGCAAACAGGAUUAGAUACCCGAGUAGUC